AUCUCCUUAACCUUAUGGAAACCACUCCAUUCGACUGCUAGUUGCAGGAGAAGCAAUGAGAGGAAGACCUAGUUGAAUGUUCCACAUGUCUGAAACACGCUCUUGCAUUGAUAAACAAGAUGACUUAACAGGAAAUGGUGCCUAGUAUAAAAUGACCAAAGAACCAGCAGUCCACUUGUAUUAUGGAAAAUGAGAAUGUGUCAGUGACGACAAUGGGGGUGAUAAAUACUAUUCUGAUGAUUCAUAUACUCCGGGAAGUACACAAAAUGCUCCGGCGAGGAGAAAAGGCUAAAGUUCAAAAGUGUUCAUUGAGUUCUUCGAUUUUGAGUAAAGCUUUGGAUUUUAGGUGGUAUAACCAAAGCACACAAAGAUGAUGUAUAAUGGAAAAUGAGAAUGUUACAGAUUGAACAACAGCUGUUAGAGAAGGAUCUCUAUCAUUGGUUCAUCAGGAUAGUGAGGGCAAUACAAGUGGACUGCUGCUUCUUUGGUCUUUUUAUAUAACAAAAUGAUUCAAUUUGCAGAAUUGAAGCUCAUUCUCAUUGCCAUAUCUCAAAUAAUGAAUAAUUACAAGUGUGUGAGCAUCUAUUUAUAUACAACUACAAUGCCAACUAGCUGAACUGCA